UUCUUAUGUGCAGCCAUCGUUGUUGUCAUAGAUAUGAAUGAGUAGAUAGGACACGCCCCUUUGAGCUGCGUGCUACAGCGAGGCUAAGCUAGUGGGGGAAAAGUUUCAGUGCAUUCCGUUGAUGUAGACGGCGUGAAAACGGAAACAACAAGUAUGCCGGCUGACUGUGCUGCAUACAGUUACACACUGCGUCGUACGAUUGAGACAAGGAAACUUGGAAUGACUUUUCAUAGGAGACUAUCAAGUACUCCGGCGCUUCCGUGAAAAUUAUGGCCGAUAUCGCGAGAACACGUGACGGGAUCAUCACGCGAGAAGGGAGUACCUGCAGGAAGUAACGCGGAAUUUGUCCGAUCAGCGUGCUCAUGGACAGUCAUUGGUUACUGCCAAGGUGUUCUACUUUGCUGUCCUUCUGCAAGUGUUCUGUCCAGCUGCACCUGUCUGAAGUCCAACUGCAUCAGUGACUACAGGUUAAAGGCAUCUUCUGGGAUGUUUCAUUUUACCGCUUUUUGGGAUUCCAGUUCCAAGAUUCCAGCUAAACCAGAUUUCCCUAGUUCCCUACUUUUUUGUGUCUUGCUGCAGCAAGUAUAGUUUGCUCUGUAUGUGGAGGUGUAAAGAAUGCAGUGUAUCUUUAUCUAGUAGAUACAAGCUACUAAAACAUAUUAGACUACAGCACCCGUCAUAGGCACCGCUACCCAUGCCUACACACCAACUGCCCAUGUACUUUUAAGACAUGGAAUGCUUUGUACAUUCAUUUAAGUAGAGUCCAUCCCAAAGAAAAUACUCAGGAGCUGUUGGAACUGUCGACAUUCAGUUGUCAUUUGUGUACUUGUGAUCUUUCGACAGAGAGGGAUUAUUUUACACACAUUGGCCUCAUCUGAAGAGUAAUGAAAGUGUUACUUGCAUGUUUGAGGGUUGCUGUUUUCAAACAAACAUAUAUGGAACAUUUCACUCUCACAAGAACAGAAAACACAACCCACAUACAUUGAAAGAUUUCAAGCCAGGAGUAGUUACAACCACUCAAGUUUCACAGGACUCACCUGAUGAUCCUGAGGAAGAUGCACAAAAUCAAGAUGACAGUGUUGUUGAAGCAGACGGUGGAUGUUCAAGUCAUGAUGACAAUGGGAUCGAUACCAGACGAGAAUGCAUUCUUAAGGGACUGUGUGUCUACCUUAACGAAGAUCCAGACAAGCUGGUGAAAGAAUACAAGGCGGAUGAUGAAAACACCGCGGCAGCCAUGGCAGAGACAGUCUAUGGCAUCUACAUCAUUCGACACAGCGGUGCAGAACCCAGUGAUGCCCCAGAGGAUGUGGGAAUCAUUCUGGAGGGGGUGACGGUACUCAGUUUCCCAGAGACUAUGGGUUGAGGAGGAAUUGGAAGUUUGUCAGCUUAGACCUGGUGUUAUUCCAUCAGUGUUAAACUUCCCGGUUCAUCUUGGAAGAGUACGUGCCAGAAAGACCAUGACCAAGCAGCCUUGAGAUCUUAGGCAGCGUCUCCCUGAGGUCCCUCUCUAUCUCCCCACACAUCCACCAACCACUGGAACACAUCUCCAAAGUUCUGCUGGGCCAGCUCAGCUUCCCCUCAGAAGAAGUGCCGCCACCUGCCAGAUGAAGGAGCCUUUUGAGAGGCAGCUGGCAUCGUGAUUGGACUGUACUUUGGUCUGUUCCAAUCCAGCUUCAGCUCCAGAGACGGCAGGCGGGACGAGUCAACGGAGGCCUGGUGGACGAAGACAUGAAGCUGAGUACAAACCAGAAAACAACAGAGGAGGAGUGCAGCAGACCAGGGCCAGAACAACCAGAGUAGCAUCAUAUGUCUCUUAGAAAACAUCAUAGUAGAGCCUUUGACCAAAGAACUACAGACUCUUCACAACCUGCUCAAACUCUUGGUACAGGACCUCACCACACGGGUCAAGAAGGUUUCUGUCUCAUUUCUACUCUGAAGCUCACCUUCUCCUGCUCAAACUGCUGACAAAUGUUUCUGCUGCUCUAAAGUCUGGUCUCCAGAACUUCCUAAAAACUCUCAAAGUCUCUUCUGCUGCAGGUUGCUUUGUAGAACUGUUGCAGAAAACCUCACUAAACCACAUGGAGGGGCCUCAAGAUAGUCGUCCAGAUGAAACCGUACAAAAACCAAACUAGUACAACCCAAACACUAAAGUCUCCUGCAGCCUACCAGAGAACCUCUGAGAACAGAGAAUCAGGACAGGAACUCUUACCUUCUGGACAACCAACCUUGGUUCACCAACAAGAAUACAGAAUGUGUCUGACCAAAAACCUCUGAAGACUCACUACAGCCAAGAUAAAGACACAACUCAGCUGUACCAAAUCCACUAAUCACUGCACACAUUAGUACCAUGUGCUAACUGUGGCUAAAGAACCACAUUUACCGAGACAACUAUCCAGUACAAAGCCCUAAAACACACCAAGAAACACAUUAAAGAUGAUUUUACUGCUGGAAGCUGCAAGCCAACGCCUAAAAAACAAGCUAAAGCAACAGAGCCAAACCCGGUUCAGUGGUGGAGAAGCAGAGGAAAUGUUUGUCUGCAGCUAAAUAAAGCAGGAAGACACUGAGCUGCUCAGGUGUUCCUGAUAACACCAAGCAGCCACCUGGACAGCCAAUAGGAACACAGCUUCCUGGAAGUCCAGAAGGCUGGCUUAGUGAAGGAAAUUUAGUUUAAAGUUGAAGCAGAAAGUUAACAAAGAAAGUUGAAAACCACCUUCUGAUCCCUGAAAUCUCUGAGUUUUCACACAAAGAACACCUGAACAUGUCAAACUGGUUCCAUAGUAGAACCAUCAUUGUAAAAACGUCAUAGUAUGGUGUGUUGCUCAAAAAACAUUAGGACCCGGCUGUCAGGGGACAAACAUGUAAGAAACAUGAGAACAGAGAGAAUCCAACCAGUAGGUCACAGUUUAUCAUCCCCCAGUCAUCUCCUGAAGUCCAUAUGGUGAGAGACAUCAGUAUCUGGUUGUUAAUUUACCAGAGGAUGCUUAUAAUCAUGCUGAUGUGGUCUGUACUCUACAGUAUUUUAGUGACUCAAUAAAUGCCUAAGUUGUUUUUUUUAAUGCUUUUCAGUUUUUAAUAAACAUUUAACAGCCUAUAUGUAAUCAAUAAAUGGCCUUUGCCUAACUUAAGAAAAAUUCACUUAGAACUCUGAUAUGUUAACAGUACUAAAUAAAUCAAUAAAUACAUGCAUACACACAAAAAUAAGUUAAUACAUUAACUGUGUUAAGAUUUAGAUUUUUAAAAAGUUGUUUAUGUUUUUGCAGAAUCCAGUAUUGCUCACUGGUUGGUCAUUACAUUUUGUUAGUUUGAUUUCACUGUUUAAAAUGAUGCCACCUCUUUUCAGACAGAACCUGUGAUAAUAAAACAUUACAAAAUGUUUAGUUCUGUGUUAAUAAAGCACUUAAAGCUUUAAGUAUGGCUAAAUGCUUUUUUCAAAAUUAAAUAUAUCACUCCUUAGGUGGUAGUGGCCCCAAGUUCAGUAAAGUUGGAAAGAUAUUCACAGAUUCACACUUCCAGCAUCAAUAACUCAUUAGAUAUAGGUUGUCAAAACAUAAACGGUGCCUCUUUCCCAUUGUUGCAAGGCAGACAAUGUGCUACAAGCCCAGUUUUAUCAAAAGUAGCUGUCUUUCAAGCUACAGGAAUAACAUUGGUGUCUAUGGAGUGAACAGGGUCCGUCUGCAAUUUGCAAAACCUCUGCAACAGUAAAGAGAGACAAAUAUUCAAUAACUUCACUCUUAUACAUUGUAGUGUCACUAAAAUCACCGCAGCCUUCAACUGGUUCCUGUUGACAAAGUGUUUUAACAGAAAUGUAAAUGCUUUAAUUUGAUUCUUUUAAUGAACCAUGUAACUUGAAUGGAUGUGAUGCUGGUGUGACCACAGUGCACACGUCUGAUGUUGCUCACAGUGGUCCAAGGGACGCUCAGGGAGUUUGUGUGUUUGUUCAGACUCAGGAAAAAUUACAGGGAACAUUGCAUCCACAGCUGUCUGAAAAUGUUUCUUAGAUGGCAAAUGGUGCAGUUGUGGACAAUAAAGUGCGUGACUCGAACUCUAACUGACAUCUAGUAGCCAACAGCCCAUUUUCAUAUUUCUCUUGUCACCUGUAACAUCGUGUCGUUUGAAUAAAGUUGCAUUUUAAAGCGACUUUUUAUAGUCACUGUUCAAAGGAGAGUCUGUUCUGGUCACAGUAUCUGAUCAACGUCCUUUAAAGCCACAACUGACCAGUGUGUAGAUUAACUCAGUGGCUGAGAAUCUGUCACCAAGUUAAAUGAAGCCAACAAAACUUGGUGGCUUCAUUUAACCUGCUUCUAAACCUAAUGAAAGUAAUGAGUCAGAUAACAAGACUAUGUGCAUGCUGCAGUUAGAUAUUUGCACAGUUUAUGAUCACAAUAUGGCCAAGUGCAACAUCCAGAUCACAAGAGCUGUAAAUGAACCUAAACGAUCAUUGCAAUAAUAUCAAUAAUUUUUGCAGUAUUACUUUUUUUAUCAAUAAUUUGUGCAAUAUCAGGUUCAGUAUCAUGGGCAAUGCUUCAUUUUCAUGUGCAAUAUUUUGCUUUCAUGCACAAAUGUCAAUAUAAUGUGCAAUAUUUCAUAUUCAGGUGCAUAUCACUUUACUCCCUCAGUAUCAUUGCCAGUAUUACUUCUUACUUUUUCAUUUUAGUCUUAUUUUAGUUGACUUAUUUUAUGUCAGUAAUGUAUCAUGCUUUAUCUUGUUGCUUUUCUACUGGAUUCUGCGGUCUCGUGCUAUGUAAUUGUGUAUUUUUUAGCAAUAUCUGGCACAGAGAAUUUCCAUUUAUAAGGUUCCAUCUUUCUAAAUAAAGCAUGCAAGUCAUCCUCUACAGGUGUAAAGAAGCACCUAUGCUUGGUAGAGACAUCAUCAUUUUUAUAUUUUUCGAAAAAAGUCACAUUCCCACUGAAAUCAAGACCCAAAUCACUCACAUGAAGACUCACAUCUUCAGUCAAAAGAGUCACAAUGCAAUUUUAUUCACAUCUCCUUCGGCCCUGGAUGAUGUAUGUUCACAGAAGGUCUCCUCAGGUCUUCAGUCCCACCCAGAGGUGCUCUAAUGCUGCCUAUUUUUCAUCCUCAGUCCUGCAGAGCUGGAAGCUCUGCUGCUUUUCCGUUCUACCUGCCGGUUAAAUGCUGGUAAUUACAUUCACUUAGCAUCCCGGUUGUAAAUCAGCUCCUGAUUAGAUGGCGAGAAUGAAAAUCAACAGGGCUCUCUCCAGCUUCAUCCAAAUUGCCUAAAAUCAAUGCCCUCUCUUUCUUUUCUUCCUUGUCUAACCGCUUUUCCAUGAACACAAUGAGCGAUGUGACGUGGUCAAGCUAAGAAACAAUUCUAUGAAGUCAGGAGCAGACAGAACUCAGGCCUCUCCUUCACAGGGGGAACAACAAGGAGGGAAACAAGAGUCAAACGAAUUCUAUUUCCUGGAUGUUUUAGUUUAGAUAAUUUGACUUUAUCUUGGCUGAGACAGGAAACUUGUGGGGCAAUUAACUCAGAGGGGAACCUUCUAAUCCACAGCUUUCCAUAUCUGCACAACCUGCUAAAACUUUCAAUUUGCUGCCUAACAGGGUUCUUCUCACCUGAUGGAUUAUCAGCCUGUCAGCGACACAUUAUAGAAUAAAUUAACCCAUUGGUUUACUGUUAUAAAGCUCAUUACAGCCUCUAUUGUACUGUUGGUAACACUGAUACAGAUGUUUGCUCGAUCAGCUCUCCUCUCAGGAUGUUUUCAGUGUGUAUAGUUUUGUCGACUUAGAGCUCUCCUAGGCGAUAUAACACUUUUUAUUUCCUAAAAUGUUCUUUAUUUGCAAUAAUAAUAACUGUUGUAGCUCAUUAAAGAGCAGUUUUGUGCAGGUCAGCAGAGUCCUAGAUUCACUGCUUCUGGUGCCUUUUAAAAUUCAAACAACGUGUUCUUCUUCUAAAAUAUUCAGAGUCUCUGUAGUGUUUUUGUGUUUUCCUCAUGUUUCAUUAAAAUUUGAGUGUUUGAGUUCAACGGCAAAGAUAUUUGAAGGCAAAACGUUUCAAUUUGUGGAUGCAAAAAUGACCAGAAGUUGAGUUGUAUAGUUGAUAUUAUUACUCGGCCCAUUGAAUAUAAACUAUCACACCAAUCUACACAUUAGCAGGAGCCAAAUAAUCAUUCAGUGAUCAUAGAAUUUAGCAGUUUCCUUUUUUUCCCCAAUAAAAACCAGGUUUAUUGUCACUCAGAUGUAAAGGUUGCUGUUGUAUGUUAUUUAUUUCAAGGGACUUUUGUUACCUAAUGCCACAUUUAUUUAGUAUUUCAGAAUUUAUUUAAUUGUCACAUUUACUUUAUUAUUUCAUAGGGAUGUUUGUUUAUUUAAGAAUGAAAUGACAUUCAAUAAUGUUCAAACUCUAAGAAACACAGAUUUAUUCAAUGCAUUUCAUUUUGGUUGCCAUAUCCAUGACAGAGAAACACAGUAAACACUGCAUUAUACAACUCACUUAUUUGCAACUUGUUAUUGUUAUUUUAAUGUAAUUAUUUUAUUUUUUCUUUCUUUCUUUUGUUUUUUGUAUGUUUGUUGUCACUAUAGUUUGACUAUAGCUACAGUAGCUGUGUGGGAAAUCGAAACAUCUCAUAAGAAUAAUAAUGUAAAUAUAUGUGACUAAACUAAUGGAACACAAUGUAAUGCUUUAUCUUGUCUGUGAGUAUAAUUUCUGCUUCAGAUUUCCAUCAGUAACAGUCAUGAAGACAACAACUCCUGUUAAAGAAGCAAAAGUAACUAAAGUAAUAUUUAAACAAAUGUAAGAAGAGCAAAAUAGAUUUCCAAGAACCUGUGAAAAGGUUCUCAGUAAUUGAGAUACUGCAUUGAAUUAAAAAAAAAAAAAAAAAAAAAAACAACUGGAACCUGUUUAGAAAAUAAAUCUAUCAGUGUUUUUUGUAAAUGUGUGUGCUGAAGUUUGUUUCAUCUUUCACAGGUUGUUUUGUAUUUUCUUACCUGGAGUGCUGUACAUUCUGCAGGGCGAUGCUCCUCUCAUCACUUUCUAGUGUGACAAAAAUAUGUAAG